UACGUAGGGUGCGAGCGUUGUCCGGAAUUACUGGGCGUAAAGAGCUCGUAGGUGGUUUGUCGCGUCUGCUGUGAAAACUCAGGGCUUAACCCUGAGCCUGCAGUGGGUACGGGCAGACUAGAGUGUGGUAGGGGAGAUCGGAAUUCCUGGUGUAGCGGUGGAAUGCGCAGAUAUCAGGAGGAACACCGGUGGCGAAGGCGGAUCUCUGGGCCAUAACUGACGCUGAGGAGCGAAAGCAUGGGGAGCGAACAGGA
rnacentral:rRNA from 1 species